rnacentral:tRNA from 1 species
GCGCGGUGGCGGAAUGGAAGACGCGAUCACCCGGCAAUCGAUAGGGAGGAUCCGCCGGGCACGGAUGCUCUAUCAUGCGAGGUUCAAAUCCUCGCCCGCGCCA